UGUGCUUUUCAUUUUCUUUGAUCUUUCCGCGAGGGCCUCCGCUUUCCUCGAGGGAAUACGACGAGCACUCAUCUCCAGCAUUCAGGUGGACUCAAGCUUUUAAAUGAAAGAAGCAAUAAUGGCAUAAUUUCUGUCUCAAGACCUCUUGCAGCUACAGCCAAGACCCAAUUCAAUACCAAAUAUCCAAUUUUCCCAACCAAUACUUUUGCCCUAUGCUGGAAAUUCCAUGAAACCAGAAGUGCCAAUAUAUACUUACCUUAACCAACCGCUCAAUCCUUCAUCUUCUUAUGAGUAGCCGCCACAGGGGGUCCUCAGUCUGAAUCCUCCACUAGCAUUGGACCAACAGUCCCGGUCGAAAUACGGGAAAACUCCAUCAAAUUCUUUAUGGAAACGGAGUUUUGCGAAUUCUCCCCAGAACUGCAAGAUCAUUUCGAGAUCUUCGAGCAUAUUCGAGGGUUCAAUGUGACUAUUGUCACUUCGGCCAAUACAAAAGAUGAGACUUUACUACUGUGGAGCGGCUUUUUGCUAAAAGAUGAGGGGGAAACUAAGUAAGAAAGCCUAGAAGAGUACAAGUCACACACAAUUGGCAGAAUUGAGGGCUGCCAUGUUGAGGUGCAAUCCCUAUUACGAUGACAACCUUUUUCGACAAAGUUUUCUUGGGGGAUACGUAGCUUUGUGUAACAGGGGGAACGACUGUUGAGUCAAAAAGCUGAGUGAGAAGGAAGCAAAGGAUCGGUUGUGGCGGGAUACGAAGUGCUCUGCUAAGCCAAUACGAAUGUUUACAUACGAACCCACGCCAAUACAUACGAGUAGUAGGGGUAUUGAAAUUCUCAUCAAUUAAAGGUUAGGGCUCAGUUUCCGGUUGACUUUUCGAAUCCUAUCCUCUGUUUCUGGUUAAACCAAUUAAAUAGGAGUAUCCACCCAACUUUCAUAUGUUGUUGUUCCUAUACGCUAACGGGUUCAUCUUUAUAGGCAAUGAUUUCAUUUGUAUUCCAAUUCGUACGUAUACCCCAUCGCUUUGUUUACCAUCCCUAUCGUCUCGAAUAAGGUUUCCUAGCCUAGCCCAUCUCGGUGUCAGCUACCGAAAGAGAAAAUUGGUCUAAGGGCAGCAUCUACUCGUUCAUCGCUUGCCUUGGCAGUGAAUGAAGGCAGUACAGGAGACUCUGAAUCCUAUUCAGAUUGCCAAUGAUCCAGUCAAGCAUGAACUAACCAAGCAUAUUGGUUUCGAUCACGAGCAAAAGAUACCGCUACGCUCUAAAUUGCUCUAUUGACUUCGGAUAGACGUGAUCGAAACCAAUAUGCUUGGUUAGUUCAUGCUUGACUGGAUCAUUGGCAAUCUGAAUAGGAUUCGGAGUCUCCUGUACUGCCUUCAUUCACUGCCAAGCUACCUUAGAAAUCCUUUUUUUUUAUGUACCUUCUCCCUCUCUACACCUUUUUUCCGCCUCGCCGCCCAGAAAGACCUAUAGAAGAAGGAAGAAUUCAAUCCGUAUACUCCAAGCGCCGCUCAAUCGAUCAGAAGAAAGGGAAUAUAACCUGCCCCUCAUUGUCCAGGUUUUCUUUGAACAACAUCGGCCGGACAAGAACAAAGGUUUUCACCAUCGUCUUUGCGCUUUGCUGGAACUAUGUAAGGGUCUUCGUCCUGAAAACAUCUGCAGAGCUAAGCCAGUGUAGGCUUUGACACUACUUAUAUUUGCUACAAGUAUUACACUCGCUUCGCUACACUCUUCUCUUAUGCUUCGCGCUUCGCAUAGGCUAAAUAAGCCGCUCAUCCCUGGCGAAUCCUACCCACAUAGGAAUGCGGAACCAUCGGGGAAAGGCAAAACAUAUUCAAUCCCAGGAGAGAAGUCACUGGUUCGAUAGGACCAGGGAGAGGACCCUGAUCACCUUGCCAACGAAUUCAAGGCCUUAGGAAAAUCAAUUCAUUUUAUCCCAAUAAUAGCAUAGACAUCAUAUAUUUAUUCUUGCAAGCUCAAGUGCUUGAUUGUUGACAAAUUCUUCUCUCAGCAGGGCACCUCAGGUACCUGUCUAUAGUUUCCUGUCUUGAAGGGGGGCGACGCAGCUAUUUUCUUUAACAACACGUCAUUCAACGAAGUGCUUACACGACUGAUCAGGCUCAUCAACCUAUGGAACCUCACGCUAUGUUGCUAUGAUUCUUUUAUCACGAAAGCAUGUCGGGCGAAGGAAUAAAACGCGUACAACACUAGCAAGAAGAGACUUGCCAAAGAAUUCGAUGCCUCACAGGAUCCUGCAAAAGCGGAGUCCAAAAAAGCACGAGUCGGGUCGGCGGUUUCAGAUUCAGCUAAGCUAUAUCAAUAGGCUCCGCUCCUUUCCUGGACUGGACUGAAACUAAUAGGCUGCUUCCUCGUCUGUACUUCAACUAGGAGGUUGUUGAAUGCUUCUACCUAUCACCCGGAGGGUGAGUUUGAGAGCUCUGUUCAAAAACCUCGUACGAGAACUUGUAUAGAGAAGGAUUUCCCGCGGGAGAUCCUGUGUUGGAUGAUAAAGAGGGUUUGCCUUUCGAGAAAGGGGCUUGGCUAUCUCCAUCUCCAUGUUAUAGGACGUAUCAAAUAUAUCUAUCGAUCUAUACCAUAUGGUGAGCCAACUAACCCCCACUCCAAUCCAAUACUUGCUAGCGCAGGAAGGUUGGGCCUACAUAUCUCUUAUUUGUGUGGAUCAACCAUCCAACUUUGAUCAUCCGCAUUAGAGAGUUUUGCAGGUCCUUGAGAGAACGUUAUCCAGUCAGUUAUGACUUGACCAUGGUCUGAGGUGAAAUUGGUCCUGGUCCAUAAAACGAAAGGUGCUGGGCAAGCGCAGAGAAGUCGUCUGAAGGGGGGAGAUCCUAGUACUCAAAAGGCUGGGUAAAUUUCGAAAUUAAGCGGAGGUACGCGCCCCGCUCCGAAACAAAGAAAAAGGUGCGUGCCGCACUCACGAGGGACUGCCAGUGAGAUACUGGAGGAAGGUGGGGCAGAGAAGGAUAAGCAAAGUAGGCGCACGAAUAUUUAUUAAUUAAGAGUUUUCGAGACUUCAUUCUCUUUUUAGUUUUGACUCUGGGUCCGGUACAGGUUGACGCGGAGGAUAGGGAUGGGAAAAGAAGCCCUAGCUUUGGGAAAGACCGGAUCAUAACAUGAAUUUCAGGGCACCAAUCUCCUUUUAGUAAUAGAUCUUUUUGAUAUGUCUCAGUCUCAGCGGCAAGGAAGAGAAAAUGCAUCGAGUUGCCUUAUCUGCUAUAAGAUAGCUAGUUGUGGGGCUUUCGAAAAAAAAGGCUGAAGGCUUCGCUAUCGCUCAUGGCUUGUAUUGUAGUCGUAGUCUUGUAGUCGGCCCUCCAUGCCUCUGUGGAAAUGUCCGAUCUUAUUCCAAAAUAGAAGGUCUUCAUGAAGGUCUGUCUUGUUUCAGGAAUAUAGGUACCGAAGUUCAAUAGCGGUAGGUCCGACAUCUCCGGCCGAACGGUUAGGCAACACUAGGGCGCCUGGGUCAAAAUUCCGCUUACCAAACAAGAUGUCGAAAUCUCGAUAGGACUGAAUGUAGCCAGGAGUUGUCUUAGGUUAGUCUAAUGUGCCAAAACGUUAGUCAAACCACCUAGGUUGUGUUUGUUCUGGAGAGUUCAGAACAAGCUUCUCUUUAUAUUCUAUUCUAGAAAGGAUCAAUUAGAUUCUCAUCUCCUAUUUGUUUGAGCCAUUCAUUAUAGUGGUGGUGCCGGGAAGGCAGGCAUUUCGAUUUGGAUUUCAAAUAAGAAAGACAGAAAAAGACUCCUGCGCCCUCGAGAGCAUUCUCUUUCACUUGCAUUUCUUCCUGAAGUUGGCUCGAAGACCUGUCCAGCCUUGAUUUUCCCAGUUAUUACUCGAGCGCGCUGAGGCAACUCUGAACUAAGCUCAGGGGAGGGGUAGUAGGUAUGCUACAAAGUAAGUAAGUUUAUGUGUGAAAAAACAUACAUACCGCGGAGGAUCUCCUUCCCUAUGAGACUCUUGCUUCCCUUUGAAAGAGGCAGACCCCUACUUCAAUUGUCAUCUGACGCCGGUGGCCUUGAGGCGUCUCGAUCAAUCGGUGUAUCCGCCACAGGACACACCUCCUUCUCUCAACCAUCCGAACAAGAAGAUUUUAGCACUACACCACCGGAUGAAAUUGAAGCCAUAAUCCAGGAGUUACUCUAGAAUGGUACUCUACAACCUAGUUCAUGCCUCACCGGCUCUUCUUUACAAGAAGAAAGAAGGUUCGUGGCGCCUAUGGAUUAUAGGCAACUCAAUGCGCAAACCGUAAAAAAGAAAAGGGCCUCUUUCCUUUUCCCAAUACUUGACCAAGAUUUCUGUUUAGUUCAGUUCCAGAUUAGGAAGCAAUAGAUGUUCCAUUGGCCGAGAAGGAAACCAGUAAGCAGAUUGAAGAGAUAGAUUGAAUAACAGGCAGAUUCCCCUCGUAACAGGCAUCUCGUCCUUUGCUUCUGCAUUAUUCUGAGCUUAAGGCGGACAGGUGGGAAAGGAAUAUCGAGAAUUCGCGUGGCUGAAGCUGAAGCAGAAAGAGAAGGUAUUUAAGCAAUGUGUGUUUUGAGAUACAAUCAAUCGAAGAGAAUAAAACUGGGUCCAAUAAAAAACAGGGAUAGAAAUUCGGAUCAACUAUGAGGAGUAGGGCUGCUAGGCAAGUGAAUGAACUCUGUCCUAGGCAUUUCCAAUAAGUUCAGUGAAGUGAGGGCGAAGGCGCUCGCUCUGCCACAAAGGGAGGCACUGGCAAAAUCUAAAUAGAAAAGAAUGAAAUCAUUGCCUAUAAAGAUGAACCCGUUAGCGUAUAGGAACAACAGCAUAUGAAAGUUGGGUGGAUACUCCUAUUUAAUUGGUUUAACCAGAAACAGAGGAUAGGAUUCGAAAAGUCAACCGGAAACCGUCAAUUGAGACAGAAAUGUCACUGGUCAGCUCCUUAGCGUGACAAUUAACACCACUUUCUUAUUACCUAAGAGAUUAGAUAAGGGAAGAAGGCAGGCCAAAGCUUAUAGAUUCGGAGAUCGUACUUCUAACGCUUUGUCUGAGUCAGUCCUACGACCCCUUCCGGCUGAGACACGAAUCCUAGCCUAUCUGAGUCGCAGAAUGAAGGGCUCUUCAGAAGGCGCCACCCAAGUCUCCUUUGAUACUUCGGAGUCAGGAAUUUUUUUUCCAAGGAAGGCGGAUUUUCUGCGUUCUGCACCCUCACCUUAUUCUGCUGAGCUCUAUUCUCCUCCGCAAUUCUCUUCUCGUUCGCAUGAGCAAAAUUCAGAGAACUAGUUAUUUUCCUCUUGUGCCCAUACAAUUGGUUCCGCUUUGCUCCGCAUCAUCUGGAAUCUCGCGCGAUUCGUAAACAAUCUGAGUGAGGAUAAGGUGGUUUAUGUUAGGGUCCGAGAAAGCAACUUGACAUGCCAAUCCUAACAAGAAUUCCACUCUUUCUGCCCGGUGCUGGAAGGUCGGAAGGAGAAGUGUGAUAAGCUUUGAAUGGAAGCCCCGGUAAACGGCGGCAGUAACUCUAACUGUCCUAAGGUAGCGAAAUUCCUUGUCGCAUAAGUAGCGACCUGCUGCCGCCCCAGGACAAGUGAAGUGCCCCCGUCGACUAUGGAGGAGCUUUCGACGUCCGUGCCGCGCGAUCGGUCGGGAUCGGUGGCCUUCAGUUCCUGCCGGAUUUCCCUUGUGUGUUAUGUUAUGUGCAAUUUGAACAUAAAUCUGCUCCCUAUCAAACUCAAUCUUCCGAUGCUUUGCAAACCCUUGGAUUGGCAACCAGCAGAGAGGGUAAGAGGGCGGCUCCCUGGAUUGAACACAUAAAGUAGUGCCAAGAUCUCCUCUAUGCGAGAGAGAAGUUCUCAGAAAUGAUGGAGCUGUUGGUUUCGGUCAUCUUGCGGAGAUCUGCAGAAAAGAGGCGACCCGCUUCGUUUGUGGCGCCUUCGGCCACAGAUCCUUCUACUGUCCUAGGCGAGGGAAGCAAGGUACCUGGCGGCCUCUGCACACAAAACCUCCGAUAUAUCAGAAAAGAUAACCUUUUUUUACAGUAUGGGAAUUUGGCCCAAUAGUCCCUCCAAUUUGAAGUGAUCAAGCCACCACUGGUACCAGUAGGGAACAGGUACUACCACCUCCUCCAGCUCUAGCUGAGCUCUCCAGUUCUUCUCCAUCAGUGAGUUGCAAUGGGAGCAUCUCAACAUCCUCUGGUAGAAUCUAUGCAAUCCAAGCCUUCUGGGACAUCAUCCACCCGCAACUGCUUUCUCUCUUGCAGCUCUUUCAUAGCAAUGGCCUUUAUGUUUGGAGGCUAACCCAGGCAUCCAUCACUCUCCUCCCAAAGAAAAAAGAUGCCAACACCGUCGAGGAUUUCAGGCCAAUCAGUAUCAUCUCGAGAUUCAUGAAAAUCGUUUCAAAGAAGAGGAACAAACAUUGUCUUCAGUCCCAAGCGGAUACUCCCCAGCUUCCACGGUCCGCUUACCGAGGAAGAGAUGCGGGAGGACCCAGGGCCAGAGCAAGUUUCAUCUUAUCAUCUUCUAUUCGAGAAUAAUAAACGAUCGAGAAAGUAAGCAGCAGGCACGAGUAGACCGACUGAUAGCAACGGCGAAUCAACGCCCGACCCGGCUCUUUUGUCCUUUUGUUCGCAGAAGGGAGAUCCUGUAACCCUUUCUCGGGGACUUCAACGGGCCUUACAAGCUCAAUAAAUUGCAAUUCUUCACCUUCGGCGCAGCCAGGACUGGCGGAUUGAGGAGAUAGCUUUUGAUGCCAUCUAGGGCUUGUUGGCAGUUUUCAUCCCAAAAGAAUGGAAUGUCUUUUUUGGUUUUUCUUGUAAAAGGUUCAGUGCCCUUUCGUAUAGAUCGAGACGCAGUACUUUUUCUUUACUUCUUCCAUACUAGGAAGAAUGGAAGGCGGAAGGCACGGACUCCGCAAGCGUCCCGCACCCUCUGAGAAAGAAACUCCUCAACCAUCACAAGAUAAUCAACACUUUUCUGCAAGCAUUAACUUUAUGCAAAUAACUGAACGCCAAAUGGAACAUUUAUUGGCCAUAGAGAAACACGUGGGCUCAGUUGGUGAGGACUCAAGAGGCCAAGGAUGAAAGGUAGCCAUGUUGACAACGACAUAACGAUACUGCAUUUCCCCUCUUCCUUGUCUCUACUUACUUGUUCAUUGCUCGACUCGAGGGAGGGGCUCUAUAUAGCUGUUUUGCCUUCUUUCUUGGACUCUCAGGUGAGCGGCACUCGCUUGAAGGACUCGAAAGCUGACUAAUGCUGAUAGGAAGAACUUUCAAAGUUCUCGUUAGUCCUUUCAUUGAAGCUAGUGACAUCAUCUGACUCUAUCAAUUCAUUUCUAUCUUCUUUUUCUUUCAUUUAUCUCUUUCCUAUCUAGGCAGUGUAUUACCCCAAAAGAUAGUGAGUUAAGCAAGCAUGUGGGAAGUAAGUGAGCAGGGUGAGGCGGCGCGCCAAUCGAUCUUCUGUAGGAGUAGGAGGUAGCGCGAAUCCCCUCUUUCUUCGUUUAGAAGAGUGCUGGACCUCUACAACGUCAAACCAUAGAACACAGCUCCUUUCGGUCGAACCCUAGGAAAGACGACUUUACCUUUUUCGUAGAUAGUCUGAGUUCGAGGCUUUGCUGGAACUAUGUAAGGUUUACGCUCGUGACUUCACGAGAUAGUGAUUGUCAACAUCCCACACAACUCUCACUCUCACUCUGGCAAAAGGAAAUGGGAAAAGAAGCGAACAAAGGUACGCUCGCUUGCUGUCUUGUUCUCUGCCGCGGACUGGGAUCGCUCGCCAGCUAGGCCCUCUAGAAAAAAGUUGGAGCAAGAAUGAGCCGAACGAAGACGUAAGGUUUGUUUAGAUGUAGUAGCAAAAUAACCGUACACAUACGACUUAGAAUUCUCAUCAGAAAAUGGUAUUACUACUUCAACCAACACCUGGUCAAUUCGUUGAUCGCCCCUUUUAUUUCUGAUUUUCAAAAGGGCCCCGCUCUCGUCUCUGCUGACGAAGCCUCGCCAAAAAGUGGCGGAAUGCUCUCGAAACCAAUUCACUUGAGAUCUUCAUGCGUGAAGGGACGGGAGGAAAGAAAGGGCGGUAGAUGAUAAUGCGAAAGGGCGCCGCCAGGGGAAGCCGGGUCAUUUGACGGAAAUGGAAGGUCCGAGCGGCUACACAAAAACAACUAUAUGAAAAACUUGCUUGCUUCCUAUGGCCAUUUCCUUAAAAAAAAAUCUCGCAAUAUUUUUUUAUUGCGCUUGUGUGAAUGGAUUUCAUUGUUUUUUUAGAUUCCACGCAGGCAGGCCAGUCUCAACAUAGGCUAAGGUAUGGUCUGGAUACCGAUCUGCUAGGAUAAGGGGGAGAUCCUAGUACUCAAAAGGCUGGGUAAAUUUCGAAAUUAGGCUCUCACCUAGCAGGCCUCUUUGACCCAGUGCUGGUACAUUCUACAGUGGGAACCACCAGCCCCAAUACCUGAGACAGUGGGCGGGGGAACAACACGUCGAAGCUUAGAGACGUGAAAAAUACAGGGUGCACUUGAGAAGUUGAAGGUAGCUCCCGGUGUUAAUAUGGAACAGCACCAACACGUGCUAGAAUCUUGUAAGGCCCAAAGUAUCGGAAGGAAGGGUUGUGGCAUUCUUCCCCUAAAAGGUGCACAUCCAUCGAUUCCCUCAUCUAGUGUAGUGCUCUGUUCAGAGACCAAGGAAGCUAUUAGUUUGAGUUCCUGAUUUCCCUGUUGCCGACUAGAUUGCUUACCGACUUUCAUGAUGGAAGAAGAUACCGACUUGAGGGAAGGCAGUACAGAGCAGCAGCCUAGGGAUAAGCAGGAAUUCAGGUGAGCAAAUGGGGAAACAAACUGCUGAUACAGAAAUCUUUCACUUUUACUGCCGAAGGCACAAGAGAGAUUAAUUAAGUGGUGGGCUAUACAAGUGGGAAAGUACGGGCAGUUGCAUGUUUCCUUUGUUUCAAAACAAUGUUAAAAAGGCGGGUGUGAUGAAGUUGGUAGAUAUAGCGCAACCCAAAUUAAUUCCUAAUCCUUAUUUUACAAGUUCUUAAUAGUUCUCUUUUCUUAUUUUGAAUGCAAAUACCUAACUAAAUCGCCUUUCGUGCGGGUCGGAACUUACCCGACAAGGAAAAUCAAAGAAGAAGAAAGCCACUCGCAGGGAAUUCAAAUAGAUGUGUUGAAGAUCAUCAAAGAAAGGAGAAGACCACCCUGUAGAAGCAUCUCAACCACCUCACUCGAAUAAUCAUAUAAAAAGCGUCGUCCGGCUCCUCCAAAAUUAUGUUAGGAUCGGCUGGCUCAUCCUCAUGGCAUGUGGGCUUCUAUCAAAAGAUACCGCUAUCGCUUACAGGGAUUUCGGAUAGGUAGGUUCAGUCAACCCAAGAGAACUGUUGGCGUGAUGAGCUAAUGGGUUAUUGAAGUAGCACUCCCUCAAUAUGUCUGAGGCUUCUGUCGGAUUCAUGCGAGCCAGAGCAUUUGGUAAAUCUGUGGAGAUGGCUGAUCUGUCCCACCUUGAUUGAUAGCGAUAUAGCCACUCUCAUUUCAAUGCGGCACAUUGAUACCAUCAUUCCAAUCUUCUAUCGUCCGUAGGCGUCGGUCGGUCCUAGAAACGGCGGCAGCUAGCGAGGAGUUAACGACCGGACGUGCUGCAACCUAGGGAUCACCAGGCAGCUCUUUCGCUCAAGUGAUUCACCGAAGCGACGAGACCUUGAAAGCAGCUUUUUCAAGUGUCAGUAGCGGGACGUUCUGUCAAUCGGGGACGCCGGAGUUGGCUGCUGGCACAACAGGGUGGUGCCUAUCCAACUGGACUCCGGCUAUGCGGAUUGCUUUCUUCAUUUCAGUUGGGUAAUUCGACCGUCCACCUUCCAUACAACUUGAGUUGGCUCGAUUCGAAACCACUGUGACACAAAACACCUCUCUUCCGGGUCAAAAGAUAUGAAACCCAGCUCUUUUUUUCAGUUAUUUAUUUCAUUUUUAUAUGCUAUUUCUGAGUGAACUCCAAAUUGGUUCAUAGAGAUAAUACUUGGAAAAGGAAGCUCUGCUAAAAGCAAAAUCGCAAAUAAGUUCUGCCCUGCAACCGGUCUUGAAUGGCUUCAGUGAAUUGUUUGCUGAGCCUACAGAGUGACCUCCUAGGAGGACAAUAGACCACAAAAUACCCUUACUACCAGGCACUAAACCUGUCAAUCAUUAGAGAAGGGACAGAGUUCAAGAUAAGACUAUCUUGCCUGCUGGGCCGAUGGGCGAUAAACCUUAAAAGUAGCUGCUACAGGCUCUGUGGUGCGUCUCAGAGCCCAAGAGCAAAUCUCGGAUAGCCUAACUUGUUUUUUUGCCCUGGAAAAGGCAGCUACUAUCCCUGCUGGAUUUCCAGAAAACGGAAUGAACGUGCUCUUGGCACAAAGGUAAUAGAAUGGGAGUCUGACGACACCCGGUACUCGGCCGUGAAAUAUUCGUUUGGCCGAGGACUUCCAUAGCUGUUCCUAUUUCAACUAGGUAGGCCGUUUUUCAGCAGUUAGUUGUAGCGCGCCUUCCCUCCUUCUCUCAUUUCGGAAAGAUUUGGCAGUAUUUUCUUAUGAUGACCUGGUCGGGCUACGUGAUCCAACAGAAGAGCUACGUAAACAAGGAACACAUGAACCUGCUAAGGAUCCACUCCACCUGCCAAGUGGACCAAUCACAAGAGCUGCAUGUGGUCAAUGCGUUUGCUGAUUGAUAACUGUCUAAUCUUAAGAUGGCCCUAGACCACUACCAUUUAGUUAGGUAGGGACAAUCAAUCCAUAGUUACGGGAAUAACGGAAUGCAUGGGGAUAAAAAAAAUAGAGGCAAAGGGUAACACUAGGGCGGAGCUCCACCUUUUGUUCUUCCAGCUCGGACUCCUAAACUAGAAACUAUAUAAGAGGCACGAGAUGAUCAGGUGUGUGCACUAAAGCUCGACAUGAUGAAAGCUUAUGAGAACUUCACUGCUAUAGCUGAUACGGGAUCUAAUGACUUAUUUCUUCAAAUAGGGUUUUGUGACUACCGAAAGUUCGCAAUAGCAGCUCCGAGAAGCUGGGCUUAGGGUGCGCCUCCUGCGGUCGUUUCAGUGACUCAAUUGGCUGGCUUCCCACAGCUCAGACUGGUGUCGCCACAGAAAUCUAUCAACUUGACUUAGAGGAAGAAGUGGCAGGGGGUAGGUCGGCUGUUUUAAGUCCGGAUGGUUCCUCUCAUUGGAAUGAUAAGUUGGCUACGACGAACUAAUAAGUUUCUCUUCUUGUCACCUUCUUUAAGCCUUUCCUUCUGCUUCCAUCGAGAAAUAUAUAUAGAUAAGCUUGGAGAAGCGAUUAAGGACCUGUGUAGAGUAGAUCGUUCAACACCUGCGGCACAAACCCAUCGUCGGUUUCGCAGGAUCACUUAUGCUAUUUCGAGAACAGAACCUGGCCCAUGGGACGUCAAGUCCGCAUGGCCCUUAUGGGCUGGGCCACACACGUGCUACAAUGGCAAUGACAAUGGGAAGCAAGGCUGUAAGGCGGAGCGAAUCCGGAAAGGGCGGAAACCACUCCAGUUGGGCAUACUCUCUUCCAUUCGCUUUUUUUCCUUCCUGAGAUAUGGAAUGUGCAGGCUUAGCAUCUAUUUUUCGUAUAUCGCUCCACCACACCGAGAAAGUGUGGGACUAAUUGAAUUUCAUUCUUGUCUGCUGAGAGAAUUAUUCUUCCUUACAGCUUGCAUUCGAUGCAUCCUCUGCGAAUUGAGCUAGUUCCUAUUUGGAUUUGCCAGCUACUUGUGUCUUUUUCCGCUUUGCUAAUCUUCCCCUCUAACGCGGGCCGGGCUUAGGCGGGCGCGGGAGGAAGAAAGAAAGUCGAAGAGCGUCUUCUCCUUUGUCCUUUUUUCAGUGCAACACAGGAAAGCACCCUCUUUUUGUAAUCCCUGCAGCUUCCCAGAGGCUUGCUUUUUUUUUAUUGAACGCAUGGCGUAGCUAGGACCCCUCCAAUCAUGUUUGAGCCUAUGUUCACCCGGGGCCAAAAAAGGAGAAUUCCGGAAUGCCUGCCGACGUUCAGAUAAGGCUCAAAGCUAGGAAGGAAAGGUAAGGAGCAAGCUUAUUUACUAAGAUCCUAGCGAGUGGAAUACUUUGAACGAGCAGGGGAGCGAGCGGAGUACUUUACGCAAGUAGUGGUUUACCAGGAACUCGUAUAAGAGCUAGUCAUAUAGUCCUUGAAGCAUUAUUCCUUUUAUCGGUAGGGCUGUUAGCAAGGAGUUUGAAGCUUGAGUACUUUCAGCUUUCCUGUUUUAGCUAGGAAUGAAGUUGGUUCAGAGGUGUCAAGUAGAGAGGUUAGAUCUUCUCUUCCUUCUCAUACUGCGAGUAAUAUCUCUACUACACUUUCCACCAGCUCGCACCCACUCUGGCCCGCCCAGCGGGGCCUGAGUGAGCUCAGUGGUCAGCCCCUGACGUUAGGGGUCUUUCGCUUUUGCCAGAUCUGCAAUCUGAGACUUCAGAAAACGUAUACUUGAGUCAAACUACACUAGAAUAGUCAGUGAAAAACUACACUGAAUUAUAAAGGUCUUUUCCUUGAAAGAAUAGGUUUUUUGCAUCAAGAGGCUGUGAGGAAAUAAGUAACAUAGUUAAUGAGGAGGGGGCCUAACAAAAUAAGUAAACCAGAAGUGUCGCAAAAGACUAGGAUGGGAAACAAAACGGAAUGUACCGGAUUUUUAGCACGUACAACCAUCAAACCAGAGACCAAAGCAGGGCUCGACAAAACAGAAAGUAUCAUGGUACGUCGUCCUCCCUUGAAAUGGAACUUGAAUGCUGGAGCAAGAAGACGCAUUCAAGUCGAUCUAUUACAACCAGCGCGGUUGUUCGUAUUUCAUUUUCUUUGGGAGGCUACCAAUUCUGGAAUUUCUUCUCGAGACAUCCCCGUCAGUCAACUUCUCUUCGGGAUGGGUCGUUGGUCUUUGUGGGAGAUAAUGUGUCUUGCUCAACGGAUUUCGCUUCUGCACUUGACUUGAGAAGGGCGAAGCCUUCAUGACCGGUACCGGUAUCUGUUCAAGAAGUCAGUACUUAUGCGGCACUGAACAAAGGGUGCAAGUUUCGCACAUCCAGUUCUCUUAUUAGAAACUCCCUAUAGAUAUACUUCUUACUGACUGAUUAUGGCUUCCCUGACUAGAGAAGGAAAUGUCGGGAGGAAAUAGAGAUGAUAGGACCACCUGAAUGCUGGAGAUGAGUGCUCGUCGUAUUCCCUCGAGGAAAGCGGAGGCCCUCGCGGAAAGAUCAAAGAAAAUGAAAAGCACAGCCGCCUCUACCUAGAGCAAAGAAGCUUUGCCAGUCUUAUCACCGGAUUCACCAUAAUCAGCUUUAAGGUCCUGACUCUCAAAUCG
rnacentral:lncRNA from 1 species